AGUGAGCGGCGAGGCAGUGACACCGGGGGGCGCAACGGUCACCCCGUCCACCUGGACGGGUCCCCUGGUCGAGCCAGUGGUGAGACCGACGCCCGCACG
rnacentral:ncRNA from 1 species